AGCGAACGCUGGCGGCAGGCUUAACACAUGCAAGUCGAGCGGGCGUAGCAAUACGUCAGCGGCAGACGGGUGAGUAACGCGUGGGAACAUACCUUUUGGUUCGGAACAACACAGGGAAACUUGUGCUAAUACCGGAUAAGCCCUUACGGGGAAAGAUUUAUCGCCGAAAGAUUGGCCCGCGUCUGAUUAGCUAGUUGGGUGGAGGUAACGGCUCACCAAGGCGACGAUCAGUAGCUGGCUGAGAGGAUGAUCAGCCACAUUGGGACUGA
rnacentral:rRNA from 1 species